rnacentral:misc_RNA from 1 species
UGGCAUCAAUCAAGGAUUUUGCACCAUCUGCAGCACUGGUUAGCAACUCUACAACAUCCUUAGUGAUUCCUUUCCUACAAAGAAAUCUUGCCAAUUUCAGAGUGGCUUCAAGUUCAAAGCUUAAAGGUGAAACUCUUUGAGCAUUGUCUGGUAUGAAUGACUUUUUGUAAUGUGAUAUCACAUUGCUAUACCGAUACCUGACCUCAUCCUCAAAAACUGCAUCCUUUUGGCCCAAUUGGUCUAUCAGUAGGGCACAAACGGUACCCUCCAAAGCCCCAGCAUACCAGAAGAAAUCCGCAGUCAAUCUAGCUAAUUCUAAGGCAGUGGAAUAGUGAGCAUUGGCAUCAACAGGUGACCCCGCCAACAAACAGUAAUCCCCAAUUGUUUUCUGUGCACGGGCCAGUCUUCUUUUUUUGGCCUUG